rnacentral:rRNA from 1 species
UACGUAGGGUGCGAGCGUUGUCCGGAAUUAUUGGGCGUAAAGAGCUCGUAGGCGGUGUGUCACGUCGGCCGUGAAAACCUGCAGCUUAACUGUGGGCGUGCGGUCGAUACGGGCAUCACUGGAGUUCGGCAGGGGAGACUGGAAUUCCUGGUGUAGCGGUGAAAUGCGCAGAUAUCAGGAGGAACACCGAUGGCGAAGGCAGGUCUCUGGGCCGAUACUGACACUCAGGGACGAAAGCUAGGGGAGCGAAUGGG